rnacentral:tRNA from 1 species
GCCAGUGUGGCAUAGUGGUUUGUGUGUUGAACUAUGACUCUGGAGACCAAGGUUCAAUUCCCAGUUCAGCCA